GUGUUGCAGAAAAGAAAAUAUUUUUGAGCAUGGAUAGUAAAGGGAUUUAGACUAAAAUAAUUGACUCUUCUUCAAGCAUAAGCGAUUCACAUAGCCCAAGGAUGAAAAAAGCAAACAUGUGGGAAGGAAAUCAUAUGGACUCAAGUGCUUAAUAUGAAGGAGGUGAGAAGAGAAAGGGAAAUUAUGACAAAAUGAAUCACCUUAC
rnacentral:lncRNA from 1 species